GGGCCCGUAGCUCAGCCAGGUCAGAGCGCCCGACGGUCCUGGACCGGGCGAGGCUCAUAGGCUUGGCUGGGAGACCGGGUGGUCGGGCGUUCGAAUCGCCCCGGGCCCA
rnacentral:tRNA from 1 species